rnacentral:rRNA from 1 species
UGAUACCCCACUAUGCUCAGCCGUAAACCUAGACGUGCAACUACAAUUAAACGUCCGCCAGGGUACUACGAGCAUUAGCUUGAAACCCAAAGGACCUGACGGUGCCUCAGACCCCCCUAGAGGAGCCUGUUCUAGAACCGAUAACCCCCGUUAAACCUCACCGCUUCUAGCCACCCCAGCCUAUAUACCGCCGUCGUCAGCUUACCCUGUGAAGGCAAUAAAAGUAAGCAAAAUGGGCACAACCCAGAACGUCAGGUCGAGGUGUAGCGUACGGAGCGGGAAGAAAUGGGCUACAUUUUCUACUAGUAGAACACUACGGACAUGCAACAUGAAAUAGUGCUUGAAGGAGGAUUUAGUAGUAAAAAGGAAUCAGAGUGUCCUUUUGAACCCGGCUCUGAGACGCGUACACACCGCCCGUCCACUCUCCCA